rnacentral:rRNA from 1 species
AGAGUUUGAUCAUGGCUCAGAAUCAACGCUGGCGGCGUGCCUAACACAUGCAAGUCGAACGCGAAAGGGGCUUCGGUCCUGAGUAGAGUGGCGAACGGGUGAGUAACACGUGGGUGAUCUACCUUCGAGUGGGGGAUAACGUUCCGAAAGGAACGCUAAUACCGCAUGACGUUCCGGGUUUAAAGACCUGGAAACCAAAGCCGGGGACCGCAAGGCCUGGCGCUUGGAGAGGAGCCCGCGUCCGAUUAGCUAGUUGGCGGGGUAAUGGCCCACCAAGGCGACGAUCGGUAGCCGGCCUGAGAGGGCGGACGGCCACACUGGAACUGAGACACGGUCCAGACUCCUACGGGAGGCAGCAGUGGGGAAUUGUUCACAAUGGGCGCAAGCCUGAUGACGCAACGCCGCGUGGGGGAUGAAGGUCUUCGGAUCGUAAACCCCUGUCGAAUGGGACGAAAGACCCGGGAGCUAAUCAUCCUGGGAGUGACGGUACCGUUAAAGGAAGCCACGGCUAACUCUGUGCCAGCCGCCGCGGUAAUUC